rnacentral:tRNA from 1 species
GGGGUUUUAGUUUAAUUUAAAAUUUAUGUUUUGCAUACAUAAGAUUUAAACUCUA